rnacentral:rRNA from 1 species
GACGAACGCUGGCGGCGUGCCUAAUACAUGCAAGUUGAGCGCUGAAGGUUGGUACUUGUACCAACUGGAUGAGCAGCGAACGGGUGAGUAACGCGUGGGGAAUCUGCCUUUGAGCGGGGGACAACAUUUGGAAACGAAUGCUAAUACCGCAUAAAAACUUUAAACACAAGUUUUAAGUUUGAAAGAUGCAAUUGCAUCACUCAAAGAUGAUCCCGCGUUGUAUUAGCUAGUUGGUGAGGUAAAGGCUCACCAAGGCGAUGAUACAUAGCCGACCUGAGAGGGUGAUCGGCCACAUUGGGACUGAGACACGGCCAAAACUACUAAGGGAGGCAGCAGUAGGGAAUCUUCGGCAAUGGACGAAAGUCUGACCGAGCAACGCCGCGUGAGUGAAGAAGGUUUUCGGAUCGUAAAACUCUGUUGGUAGAGAAGAACGUUGGUGAGAGUGGAAAGCUCAUCAAGUGACGGUAACUACCCAGAAAGGGACGGCUAACUACGU